AGAUUAUUGAAGGUUUACAUUUUAUUUUAAAUAAUCAAUUUGUUUGAAUAGUUUAUUAUGUUUCGCUAAUGAAACUGAAAGAAUCGAAGUUUUUUUAAAAUUGAUUUCGUCACUGUUUAACAAUAUUCGCCACUUUACCUUUUUAUAGGCUCAUGUGGAUUCUAUAUGUCAGCGAAGGUAGUUAAAUUUUAAUUAUACUAAUAUAAAAUUGUACUGGAAGAAACAAAUCUUCUCUCUCUCUCUCUCUCUCUCUCUCUCUCUCUCUGUCUAUUUAUCCAAUGCAUCAUCCAUCCAUCUAUCCUUCUUUCUUUCUUCAUCUCUCUUUCAUUUUCGCUCUUCUCCAUCCCUCCAUCUUUCCUCCCCUUACCUUCUAAAACACUUUCAAAACCUAUCAUUAAAAUUGCAAGUCAUCUAUUUCCUUUUCUCUACUAGAAGAAUUUUUUAUGCUAAUAACCUACUAGUUUGUAGAAGAAAGAAAGAAAUAUAAAAAAUAGCAUUGGCGCCGAUGAAUGAACGAUUUCAGUCAUCAACAGACCACAGAUGAUUAAAUUGAUUUUAUAAGAAAAGUUAAGUAGUAUAUUAUUGAAUAAAUGAAUGUAAUGGCACAUGUAAAAGUGUGUUUUUUAUUACUUCUUUUGAAUAAACAAAAUAUGACCCAUUUUAUUAGGGAAAAGAAUUUUCCGUAGUUGAGGGAUAAUGAUAUGUAAAUGUCUAUAAAAAGCUUUUCGAUCGCGCGCAUUUUGGCUGAAAGCAGCGAUGAAUGCGAACGAAGUAAUUCGUAAAUUUCAAGAAUAUGACAAGGAUAAAAACGGCUACGUUUCGGUUGGUGAAGCUCAACAGAUUUUAGAAAAAGAAUUAGGGUUUACUCCAGAGAGCACUAGAAAAUUAGUAGAGCAAUACGACACUAAUGACGAUGGUCGUCUCUCUUAUGAAGAAUUUAUUUGGUUCUAUUGGCGUGUUCACGAAAAAAAGAACGAUCUAAUCGAAAAAUUUCAAUUAAUGGACAAAGAUGGCUCCCAAAGUAUAAGUUUUGAUGAGGCAAAAGACGUUCUCAAAGAUUAUAAUUUCUCUGACGAUGAUAUAAGAAAUCUCUUCAAUUUACACGAUACAAACAAGGAUGGUGUUUUACAAUUUGACGAAUUUCUAAGAUUUUGGCAAAAUGUUGAAAAGAAAUGAAAUUAAAAAAACAAAUUAAUAUAAAAAAGGAGCACGAAUGCACAAAAACUGUAUCAUUUUCUUUUUAUUUUAUUACUCAUUUCCAGUAUUUCUUUGAACUCCUGCUUCUCUCCUUUUUUCAUUCUUUUUAUCAGUCUUAACGAUUUCUUUUUUCCUCUCUUAUAGUUUUUAUAUACAGUUUACGUAUUAGUCUAUUUCUUAGUCUAUGGCACUGUUCAACUCUUAAGCACGCAUUCGCACGCAAACACACGGGAAUAGAUGAUUCGUGUUGAAAACAUUAAGGAGAGAAUCUUUUAUCACUUUUAUCAACUUUUUUCUUUAUCUUUUCUUCUUCCUUAGACUUUAACGCAAGUUUUGUUCUACUCAUAAUCGUUAUGAUAACUAUUCCCAUAAUAAUAAUAACUUCAUUUAUUUAAUAUUUAAGGUGACCUCAUUCGGCAAUCGACGGAAAUUAAUUAAUUAAUGCCAAUUAAAAAUUCAUUUAUUCCUUUCCUCUAUAAUUUACUUCUUUUCUAAUUAUUUUCCUUAUUUUUUAAAGGAAGCCAAUUGACUAUUUCAUUCAAAUGUUUAAAAUACAAUUCUAAUAAGCGUCGGAAGACGUGGAUUAGUUUUCAAUUAUCUUUAUCCGAACUAGGUGGAGUAACAGUUUACGAUUUUUAUACUUUUCUUCUUUCUCUUUUGGAUCUCUUUUAAACCCGCUUCAGACGAGAUGCGCCAUCUACCGAUUCUUAUUCGUACUACUUUAAACACUUUUGGAAAUUCUACAAAGUUGUUUUACAGAGAUAUUUGUUUGAUUGGGGAAAAAGACAAAAGUAAAGUUUACUGAUUUAGCAACGGGAUCGUCGGAGGAGAGAAGGAGAAGGAAGAAAAAGAGUAAAAAGAAUAUUUGUGAAAAGUUUGAGGCAAAAGCUGCGAAGAAACACAGUAUACUCGUUUCACGUAUACAAAUCGCUGUUAAAAUAACAAACUCUUAACAGUUAAGAAAUCAGUGCUGGGAUCUGUAAAGCAAACAUCUCCAUAGCCAUAGCUAGUUGAAAUAAUUGCAAGUCCUUGCAACUUUUCUAUUCAUUGCUAAGAUAAGGAAAAAUGUCAGAUUGGAGACAGUUUUAUUAAGGGAUUUAUUUAUAGGUCAUUCGAGUACCACAUGAAGUUGAUCGAAAGUAUAUAUUUGUUACAAAUAUUUACUAAAUUUCUCACUUGAUCACGUGAUAUUUUUAAGAUUUAUAUAAUUCGAUUUACCUGGUGUACAGUUCUACGCCUUGUUGACCUAACUCCAAUAUUCAAACAUUUAUUAUUGACAUCAUAAGCGAUAUGUACAAAGUUAAAUUGCAAUUUCUUUCUUCUUUAGCAAAAAACCACUUUUAAUAAAUGUUUUUCAUCUUUUCAACUUUUCCUUUACCCCAUAAAGAUGAAAUAAGAAACAUUUUUU
rnacentral:misc_RNA from 1 species